CGUUAAUUUCCAGGAAGUGCUACUACGGACGCAGUGCCAACAAAAGUGACUCUGAGUGCCGGCAGCCACGGAUGCCGGACCGUUUGAUGUCUCGUGCCGAAAGAUGUGAACCAGCAUUCUUUCAACUUCUAUCCAGAUUAUUGCAUCAAUCUCAAACAUCUACUGAUCAGGAACUAACACAACAACACCAAACAAUUGUGUGAGGGAUUCACAUCGAUCUCAAAUCCUCGCUGCUCAAGAACAACCACAACAACAACAACAAACAAUUGCGGUAAGUCAUGACAUCCGCUCAUAUUAUUGCUUCCUGCAUUGCAUGCCGCAUGUUUACUAUAGCUUCUUCUGUCAGCACUGAGGGUUUACAUGUGAUAAAUGUAAGGAAUUUGUCAGGCUGACGGAGAAGGUUAAUAAGUUAGAGACAUGCAUCCGAAUGCUAGUGGAGGUCAGUGAGAAAGAGAUGCCGGUAGAUACUGUUUCGGAUGCGGGCAAUACAGCGAGCAACACACACACUUUGGUUCCGGCUGUAGAUUUGGGUGACAUCUUGGCAGCAUACUCGCUCAGCAAAGCAACACCACUCUCCCGUUCCUGUUAGGGUCCCCAGUGAUGCAUCCACUGAGAAUCAUUUUGAAAGAGCCUUGGUCAUAUGUGAUUCUAUUUUAAGGAACGUGGAAAUAGAGACUCCAGCCACUAUUGUUAAAUGCAUUUCUGGUGCCAAAGCAUCUGACAUCAGAUCAAAUUUACAAGUGCUGGCUAAUGCUAAACUUAGAUUUUCCUAAAAUUGUUAUUUAUGUCGGCACUAAUGAUGUCCGGAUUCGCCAGUCAGAGAUCACUAGAGAUAAUGUUAAAAAGGUGUGUUGUAGCAUCUGGACCAAUCAGACACACAAUUAUUCAUUAUUUAAUGAAUAAUCCAACAGAUGUCUCAAGACCAUCCAAGUAGGCCCAAGCAGACUCCAAGAUGUCUGCUCUCCCACUGAACAUUAUCAGCUUUUGCUCCCCCUUUGCUGACAUAGGUCCAGCAACUAGUGGACUUCAGAGACAUUCCAGGUGGGGGAAGGUAGCCACAUGCAAAAGCAGAGGAAUGUGGAGAAAGUAAACUCACUCCAUUCCCCCAUUGGAAAGACACAUAAAGCCCAUAAAACAGACUUUUCUUCAUUAAUUUAUAGACAAACAGUUCUAUAAAUGAACAUGCAUAUCCCCAGGACAUUGUGUUAUGAUUAUUACUGUCUUGUAUAGUGUCUUUUGUACUGUAUACUGUUUUAUGCAUGCUUUAUGACAGAACCACUAGAUAAUUUAAAAUUAUUGGUAUCAUGCUUCCUAUCAAAUUAAUCAUUGUGUGACACUCUGCACAUUGGUGUAUCUCACCACCUUAUAGCAUGCAUUGUAUGCUUGUUAUAUUAAUCAGAGCGUAAAGGGGCACAAACUGCUAGCUUACUCCAAUCAUGCAAAUGAGUCAGCUUCCAAACAAAGGAACGUUUCCCGCUGGAAAAUUGCACCUUUCUCAUUGGCCAAACCAAACUCGAGAGGAGUGACCUCCCUCUGGAGUUAAAGGGCACUGUCAGAGUGACUUCCCUCUCUCUUCCUUCUCUUCUUCUCUCACUCUCUGUCCCUUCUUCACCCGGUCCGACCGCGAGGUCGCGAUCCGACAGGCCUCAACACAUCAAGCCAUGUGUAAAUUCCUCAACCAUAACAGAGUCAAACUAACACCACAAGUUCAUCAUAAUUUCUUCAUUCAACACGGAAGAAACUGAUUGCAACUUCAACACCAUCGACUCAAGGAACCAUCAAGACUUUCUCCUGAGACUUCAUCCGAGCACUCUAUCAACAGCCAAGGCAUUGUUGCUUGAGCUGGCCAGAUCCACCCCCAUUCCUGCUUGGUGUCAGACUCCACUGCUAUGUGUCUCUGAGUGAUGAUGACUAAAUGCAGCCGGUGCUAGCCAGACAUCACUUCAGUCUAUUACGAUGGACUUCAGGGGAUGAACUGAUGCCAACUCAAAUCAUAAGGCAUGCAAUACUUCAUAUGCCACUGCCUGAACCUUGGACUUAGGAUAGACCUCACCGAAAUGACCUGCUGGUUGAACUGUGAUGCACCACACUGAUCUCUGCCUGCAUCACCGUGGUCUAAUGAUGGACUACACUCUUAAAAUGGAAUACAUAGACUAUCAAUUAAUUGCCAACAAAAGCCUUCAUCGGCCAACUAACAAAGGACAAUGCAUCAAUUUUCUGCCAUUAAUCCAGGCUGAACUUCAAAGACAUUAGACAUUAAUCUUAUAGUUCAUACAAAAUCGUUGUAUAAACACUGGCCCUUAACACUUACUUAGUUUACUCAUUUUAAACCAUGAUCUGCACUGCACAUAAUUAACUAAUAUUGGCAUUAUAUUCAUGCUGGUUAACCAGAGAGGUUAUAUCAUAUUUAAUCAAACUACACAACGAUGACUCUAAGACUUUAUAGAUAUUACAGUUUCAUUUUCUGUUAAUGCAUGAUUUUCUGUAAAGCUGCUUUGAAACGAUGUGUGUUGUGAAAAGCGCUAUACAAAUAAAAAUGACUUGACUUAAUGUCAGGCCCACGCACGUUAAUGUCAUGCACGAGUUAUGCAAACAUUCGUCCAGACAGUACUAACAACAUCUUCCAUGAUGGCCUCUCUUACAACAGCACAGAGAGCAAAGGUGCACACUCAGUUUGAAAUCAAACUUAUCCGCCCACGCAACAUAUGACAAUCCUUGCCUCAUUCCGUGUAGAAUCUGCUCACAUCUGUGGCAGAAUUGUUAGAUCACUUGCAUGGAUAAUCAUCUCCACCUCAUUAUUAUGCAGAUACAUGCUAAUUUUUUUAAUAUAUUCAAUAGGCACCCCGCCUCUUUCCACGGAAAGGUCAAGGUUUAAGUUGGCAUAUUUAGAAACAGUGAAUGCUGAGGUGCUCAGAUUUUAAUUGUCCAUUAUUCAGAGGGGGUAAAAACUUCAAAUAAAGUUUACAUGAAAUUAAACGCAGCUCGAAUUUAGGGCAAAUUCUGAGUUAAUUCGUACAUUUAGCAGCAGCAUUAGGAUGGCUCUGUUUUUAAUACCCCUUCCUCUGUGACCCUCAAAAUCCCUGGUCUCUCAGGGGCAAGCGGUGUACAUUCAAAUAGGAGGAAACAAUCAGAAUGUGCUCAUUUGCAUAUGAAUGGGAGACGGAAGUGCACAAAUCCGCAGCAGUCCAUUUUAAUCCGAGAAUGACUUCCUCCUGUAUUGUUAUGAGAAACAGUCUGAUAGCAUUCUUGCCUCUCGUCUCCCAAUCUUCCUGCUCAAAUUAACAUCCAAAUAUGCCGUUCGCUUUCGGACCAGACCGCUCGGAGAGUUGUGCAGACUGUAACAGUCUGCCAACCUCAGUUGCCCCGGCAACAAAGAGGAGGACAUAGUGAGGUCUUAUCAAUCAAUUAGAAAUGUCUCUGUUCUCCAGGAGCAUUGAGCCACUGGGUCAUGAUUUUUCCUGUUUGUCAAAUUGGCCCUGGUUAGAGCUGUAUCAGUAUUAGAAUCUUUUUUUUUUUUAUUUCAAAUGUCUGGAAGAAUGUCAGUAAGCAGUAAGCAGUAAACUUUAGUUUAAUAGACCGAACCUUUAUGCAAAAAGAUAAUAUUUUAGCAAUAUAAUUACACUCCAUUUUCCUUUAUAAAACACAUUUGAGGAGGACUUCACAAAGACUGAAUUGUGCCCGCUGAUGAUUUAUAGUCAAUAAGUACAUACAUUUUGGUCUGUUUCCCACCCCAAAGCAAUCAUAUUUCUUCAGAAGACACGGAUUAAACCAAUCGGGUAUUGCUACACUACCUUUGUGUCCUUUUUGGAGCUUAAAAGUUUUGGACCCCAUAAAUAAAUAAAUAAAAAAUAGAAUAAAUAAAGUAUGGGUUUGGAACAACAUGAGUAAAUGGAGACAGUCUUUUCAGUUUUGAGGUAAACUAUUCCUUUAAAAUUGAAACGCUUUUCCAGUACAAGAAUACAGGUAUGAGUCAAGUGACUCCUAAGGAGAGAGGAAAUCAGAACAGAAGAAGUCAAUAAGCCUGACUCUUUUUUUUUUUUUUUUUUUUUUUUUUUUUUUGUAAAGAGUCAUACACAAUUCAUUUAGCUGGUGAAGAGCUCACUUCCUGUGGCCUCAUUAAAAUUCCUUCAUGAGAUUUGCUUCUGCAGCCGGGCUUCCAAGAACUCCAGACAAGAUUCAUUCAAAGGAAGUCCUCUCUCCAAAAUCUUUUUUUUUUUUUUUUCAUUACCUUAAAGCUGUCUGAGAAACAGCUACUGUUAAUUGCCAUCACACGACAGCUGGGUGGGUUUAGGGGUCACAUCUAUGUUAUAGUAAUUUGAUGGAGAAAAUCAUGACUUUAUUCAGCACUGACAGAGAUGUACAUAUGGUGAGAUAUCAAGCUAAAGGGUAUUCUCCCUAAAACUGCUUUCACACUGGAUGUGAUUCAUUUAGCAAACAAAACAAAUUUAGAAGUGGGUUUAAAAUACAAAGGCCCAAAAUAUGCUGAAACACUGGUUUAAUCAAGAAAGUGAGUUAAUUUUUAAAAAUGUAAUUUUUAGACCAACUCUCAAAUACUCUCUUUCUGCCAGUUCCUUGGAUAUUAUAUUAGCAAUAUAAGCAAUCUUAAUUUUAGUUUAGAAAACACAUUAGUGUUCUUUUCAAAUUUAAUGACUGUUCCAUUAAGAGAAUACAGGUAUCAGAGGGACAAAGGGACUCUCAAUGAUACAUAAAACAAACUACCACAAAAAAUAUACACUGAAAAAAAUAAAAAUAAGUCUAAUUAUAAAGCAAUAAGUACACAUUAAGUUCACAUUUUCAAAAAUGAAAAUUCUCUCAUGUGUAUGACUUUCUCUCUUCUGCAGAACACAAAUUAAGAAUUUUAGAUGAACAUUUCAGCUCUGUAGGUCCUCACAAUGCAAGUGAAUGGGUGCCAACAUUUUGAAGCUCCAAAAUCCACAUAAAGGGAACAUAAAAGUAAUCCUUAUGACUCCUGUGGUUAAAUCCAUGUGUUUAGAUACAAUAUGUUAGAUGUGGGUGAGAAACGGAACACUUUUUAAAGGAAUAGUUCACCCAAAAAUGAAAAUUUGCUGAUAAUUUACUCCAAGAUGUAUCUGAGGCCAUCCAAGACGUAUCUGAGUUUCUUUCUUCAUCAAAACAGAAUUUAAGACAUUUAGGAUUUCAUUUCAGGCCUCCUCCUCUAAACAAUGCAAGUGAAUGUAUUCCAUUUUUUGACGGUCCAAAAUGCAUAUUUAGGGUGCAUCAAAAUAAUCCACACAACUCCAGUCGACAAAUAAAGUUCUUCUGAAUGCAAACGAUUGAUUAUUUUGAGACAAAAACAAUACCUAUAUACUUUUUAUCUACAAAUGUUCGCUUCCGUACAUCUCUGUGACAUGCGCUCAUGAGAGGGAUGAUGUAAGCUCGUUGGUAAGGUCACACGUCACGUGGAGGAGGAGUCAGGAAACGCGUCAUUGUUUACAAUAGAAACUUGCACAGACCACAGACCAAGUGCCGUUCAUAAACCAAAACAGUCCAAAACUAUUUCAAAACAAUAUAAAAUAAAAUUAAAUAUAAUUUCCAAAUAAUAAUAAAAAAAAACAAAGGUAAACAAUGACACGCUUCCUGACUCCUCCACAUGACUCUUGACCUUACAUUCACUUGCAUUGUUUAGAGGAGGAGGACUGAAAUGAAAUCCUAAAAGUCUUAAAUUCUGUUUUGACGAAGAAAGAAACUCAAAUACAUCUUGGAUGGCCUGAGGGUGAGUAAAUUAUCAGCAAAUUUUCAUUUUUUGGUGAACUAUUCCUUUAAGUCAUUUUUUAUCAUAAAUUCUCCUCCCUGCCCAGUAGGGGCGAUAUGAACAAAGAAUGUGAAUAACCAAAAACAGAAGAAGGAGAAUGUGAAAGUGGAGUGACAGAGCAGGCAGGAAAUUUUAUAGUAAAAAGUGACUUAAAUAUUGAUCUGUUUCUCACCCACAUCUAUCAUAUUGCCUCUGGAAAUAUGGAUUUAACCACCAGAGUUGUCUGGAGUACUUUUUUGUUGCCCUUAUGUGAAUUUUGGAGCUUCAAAAUUGUGUCACCCAUUCACUUGCAUUGUAUGGACCUACAGAGCUGAAAUAUUCUUCAAAAAAUCUUUGUUUGUGUUAAGCAGAUGAAAGAAAGUCAUACACAUCUUGGAUGGUAUGAGGGUGAGUAAAUGAUGAGAGAAUUUUCAUUUUUGAGUGAACUAACCCUUUAAGAUUUAUGCAUUUCAAUUGCAUGACUAAUUUUCAUCAAACUGACAUUUUUUAUCGAUGUAUGAUUUUUUAUUUUAUUUUAAAAUGUACGUACAUUUAAAUAAACUGAAACACUUUGGUACAUUUAUGCUUAAUUUACAAUAAUUUAGAUUAUUUAAAGAUGACAAUUCAGUUGAUGGACAUUUCUAAUACAUUUGAAAUGUGUACAUCUUAAAACAUGACUGCAAUAUGUUUUUGAGCUACAAUGGUAUUUUAAAUUUUAUUUAUUUAUUUAUUUUUGCUAUUAUUACAAAAAUAUAUCAUGGAAAAAAUCAUAGUAAUACUACACAAGGACACUACCAUGAUCAUAAUACCACGGUAUUCAUUGUAGUAAUUUAAAGUACCAUUUAAAUAUCAUGGUAAAUGAAUAUGGUAAUCAAACAGUUUCAUAGUAUAUGUUGAAAG